UGGUUCUGGCAUCGAUGAAGAACGCAGCGAAAUGCGAUAAGUAAUGUGAAUUGCAGAAUUCAGUGAAUCAUCGAAUCUUUGAACGCACAUUGCGCCCGCCAGUAUUCUGGCGGGCAUGCCUGUCCGAGCGUCAUUUCAACCCUCGAACCCCCCCGGGGGUCCGGCGUUGGGGAUCGGCCCUUUACCGGCCGGCCCCGAAAUCCAGUGGCGGUCUCGCCGCAGCCUCUCCUGCGCAGUAGUUUGCACACUCGCACCGGGAGCGCGGCGCGUCCACGUCCGUAAAACACCCAACUUCUGAAAGGUUGACCUCGGAUCAGGUAGGAAUACCCGCUGA
rnacentral:misc_RNA from 1 species